AAAUUGAAGAGUUUGAUCAUGGCUCAGAUUGAACGCUGGCGGCAGGCCUAACACAUGCAAGUCGAACGGUAACAGGAAACAGCUUGCUGUUUCGCUGACGAGUGGCGGACGGGUGAGUAAUGUCUGGGAAACUGCCUGAUGGAGGGGGAUAACUACUGGAAACGGUAGCUAAUACCGCAUAACGUCGCAAGACCAAAGAGGGGGACCCUCGGGCCUCUUGCCAUCGGAUGUGCCCAGAUGGGAUUAGCUUGUUGGUGGGGUAACGGCUCACCAAGGCGACGAUCCCUAGCUGGUCUGAGAGGAUGACCAGCCACACUGGAACUGAGACACGGUCCAGACUCCUACGGGAGGCAGCAGUGGGGAAUAUUGCACAAUGGGCGCAAGCCUGAUGCAGCCAUGCCGCGUGUAUGAAGAAGGCCUUCGGGUUGUAAAGUACUUUCAGCGGGGAGGAAGGGAGUAAAGUUAAUACCUUUGCUCAUUGACGUUACCCG
rnacentral:rRNA from 1 species